UCAGAAGAGCAGUCAGCAUGGAAAUAUCGAUAGAAGAUAGAAAGAGAGGCAACAUGGUAGAAGACUAUUAGUAAGAGGAGGAGAGCUGAUGAGACGAAGAGCCUUAGACUCCACUCUGUCCAAGAGAGCUGUGUGAAUGGAGCUCCCCAACACGUGAGAUGCAUACUCCAUACGUGGGCGGACAAGGCCCCUGUAAAUGGAUAGCAACUGUGCGGGGGAGAAGAACUGGCGGAGACGGUACAGAACGCCCAGCCUCGAGGAAGCUGAUUUAAUAAGAGAAGAUAUAUGAAGUUUCCAGUUGAGAUUUUGAGUUAAGGAUAGAACGAGGAUGUUUAGUGUUGAAGAAGGUGAUAGGUGAGUGUUGUCAAAGAAUAGGGGAUAGUUGUUUGGAAGAUUGUGUCGAGUGGAUAGGUGGAGAAACUGUGUUUUUGAGGCAUUGAAGGACACCAGGGCCCGUAGCCUCACGAGCUAUUAACUUUUACUCUUAAAGUUACUAUCAAAGUUAAUAGUUUCAAAUUAUUAAGAGUAAUAGCUAUCCUCGUCAACUUUGAGUGCAAGUAUUAGCAAAUCCUGGCUACUAUUAUCUUCUUCUUCUUUAUGGCGGGAUCGUUGCUAAGGACGCCUCCGUGCAAAACGUAAAAAUCCGACAUGAAUUGAGUAAAUAUUUCAAAAGAAAAAUAAAGAAAACAUGUAUAAAUGUACAACAAAAACAUAAUAAAUGGCAAACACAAGAAAAUAUUGUGUUUUGUGGUAGAUAGAAGCAGCCUCAAAGGCUGCUUUUACUUCGUCACUCGUCAAUACCCUUAUCUCCCCUCCUGCGUCACGACUUGCUCUGCUGAAAUUACCGCACCAUAACCACGUCAUCUGCCCCAAUGAGCACAUCUACGGGCCGGGGAACCAGCGCAUAAAAGGAGUAAGUUUAAUUGGUCGCCAGAUGAAACGGUCUUCUUACAUCAAAAUCAUGAAAAAAUACGUAUAAUCAGAGGGUGUUAUGGGAAGAGGAUCACCCCUGAGGAUAGGAAGAGAGCGUGGACUGAAGUGGCAGAAGCUGUAACAAGUGCCUUCCCUGGGAGUGGACCCCGUACGCAGGAUGACUGUGAGAGGCGUUGGUACAACGUACAACAAAAAUCAAAGCCUCGCAUUGCCAAGUGCAAGAAUGAGCAGCGGCAGACUGCCCCGCUGCUGUAUUGCUAGAGACCAUCCCAGCACAUUGUUCAUUACUUGUGGUAAAGAUACCAUCAGCUGCUCCGGCAACAGCCACUGCUUCAACAUCUGCUGGCCCUAUGACACCAGCCACUGCUUCAUCAUCUGCUGGCCCAAUGACACCUGCCACUGCAAGGGAUGACAAUGAAGCUGUUCCACCACAGUCACCACCUACUUCAUCGGAGUUAAGAGAUGCCUUUCAUAGGGCAGCAGUAUACUUUUUUGAUGCUGGGGCUGAAUAUUACUGCCUCAAGGCUAUGAUUUUGUCACUUUUUUUUUUAUUACUAAGGAGGUUAGGGUGGAAGGGGUGAAAAAUAAUCUCUGCUGUUUUUCGACAGAAAUGGUUAGCAAAUUCAUUCAAAGCACAAAAUUUACCAGAAAAAAAACUGUGUGCCAUUGUGAGUGGGUUCACUUGAGAUUGGGCUCCAAUACGCCUCCGUGGUAUAGUGGUCAGCAUGCCUGGCUUCUACGCGGGCCCGGGUUCGAAUCCCGGCCCAGGCAGUCGGGGGGCAGCUCACCCAGCUGAUCAUCCUCCCUCUCAGGCUGGUCGAUAAAUGACUACCUGGGGAAACCUGGGGAAACUGUGGUAACCCGGAUGUCACACUGGCCCUGUGUCCCGGGGUAAUGGGCUCCCUCCCACCACAGGCUCAAGGGCCAAUGUUACGGAGAUGAGCACCGAAGCCACGCGCUGCUACAGCGUAUGCCCCAACUUUACCUUUACCUUUAUUGGCUCGACUGACAGACAUGGCUUUGUAUGUUGAAGGUCACUGGUUCAAUCCCCACAGCCAGCACUUUCUAACUUGGAUUUUUCCGAGUUCCCUAGAGCCUAGAUUAAUUUCUUGGUGUUAAAUGAGGAUAUUUGCACCGGCACCCAGCCAUGGGUGUUACAAGAUACGUUGUUACAAUCAGGGCCGUCAUUUGGAUUUCAA